CUUGGUAAUCACUGUAAGCCCCACAUUAUCUGUAAAUUCCAAAACUCCUGGAGCACCAGAGAAAGAAGAGAGAUGAGUGAACGUAUCUGUUUCUAGGUUUUCUCGAUCAUUGUUGUAAACACCUCAAUAACCAGGCUCUUUUUUAUCCUUCCUGUUCCUUGACUUGCUUGCCUUCCAUUCCUUCUCUUUCCAGCCUCCCUCCUGCCCUCUUGUUCCUUUCUUUCAUUCUUUAUUUUUCUAUCUUUUCCUCACUCCUAGUGCAAAGUGUGCUUUGCUCAAUGAAGACAUGUAGGGGAAAUAGGAAUAAUGGAAGCUGUCUGUACAGUACUGAAGAGAAUCGCAAAGUCAUCCUGCAACAGAGCAGAAUCCCAGUUUUUGGAUAGGCACGACUGCCGCCCAGUAGAAGCCCCUACUUUCCCCAGGCUCCCUUGUGGCUAUAUCUGUCCACUGUACUGUGGCCAAGAACAGGCUGAGCUCCUUUCUGGUACUUUUUGAAACAACAGGAACUCGAGGUGCAACAGCAACAAAUGGAUACUUUUCCACAGUGUGUACCCUAGGGAGGACCUCAAAACCCAAAUGGAUACUUUUCCACAGUGUGUACCUGAGGACCUCAAAACCCAAAUGGAUACUUUUCCACAGUGUGUACCGGAGGGAGGGCCUCAAAACCCCACACACCUGGGCUGCAGAUUCACCACAACAUGGAGCAAUCAGUGCCUAAAUUUCUAUGCCGUGAUGCUGUCAUAAUUUUUGCCUAAAAAUAUUUUUAUUAAUAAUGAUGUCUUACUUCUUCAGGCACGCGCUCUGUGCCAGUUACCCAUGAUUUAAUUCUCACGUCACGUUAUGAAAUGGUUCCUGUUAGUAUCUCUAUUUUGCAGGCUAGUGAACUGAAGCAAACAGAGUUAACAAAGAGUGGACUUCGCACAGUAUAAUUUCAAGGUCAUAAAUGUAAGUAUGUUUAAGGCUUUUCACACAAGAAACCAAUUUGUUUUUCUGAAAACAGUGUUCCUGCUAGUGUUCAUUUCCAGCAGGCUACACACUUGUCCUUCCCACCACACACUCACCAAAACAUUCAGGGUUGUCUUCUGAAUACUCAGUCCUUUCAUAUGGGAAAAUGGUGUCUUGUGGUUAAUUGUCUUUAUUUUACAUUCUCAGUCUUCCAAGGGUUCAAUUUUCUAGUCCUUCUGAGUUUUGUGGGCAGUAAGCAUGGCGUAAAUCCUAAAUAGAGGAAAUGCUUCACUAUUUUUCCUAGAACUGACUUAGCUAUUUUAUUUUUAAAAGGAAAGAAAAAAUGAGAAAAGGGAAAAUCUAAAGUGUCAGACCCUCCCACACUUCUACGGGUUGUUCCAGAAAAAGGAACAGCUUCUUCACUCUGAGGAACCAGAAAGAAGCUUGCUCUGCCCCUCUUCUCACCAGCCAGGGCUGCAGCACAUCACCUGCGUUAUCAAAAGAAGCUAAGCGUUGCAGACCACGUGCUUCGAAGCAUGUGGGCGUGUAUGCCUCGAAGCCGGCUUGAGCCUCACUCUGUGCUUUUUCUCUUCUUCUAACAAACUCAUCACGGAUGUUAUGUCGGGUGCAGGCUGCGAAUUUUAUGCAACUUGGUGACUAUGUGAUUAUCAA
rnacentral:lncRNA from 1 species